rnacentral:lncRNA from 1 species
CUUCCUCCUCCCCGCUCUCCAAUUGAUCCCUUCCUUUUUUAUCGCCAACAUCUCUCUUUCUCUCACCUUCCUCCUCUUUUCCUUCCUUCUCAUCUAUUUCUCCUCUAUAGUAGCUCUCUCCAUCUCUACCCAUUCCUCCAUCUCAUUCCCUUCCUCCUCAUAUUUCCUCUUCAUUCUCUUCCAAGCCAUCUAUCAGCUAUUCUCCUUUAGGCAGUGCUCUCCACUUUUGCCCAUUUUUGUUGGCAACCCAUCCUUCUCCCUCUCCUUCCUCCCCAUCCUCUUCUCCUCCUUGUCGUCCUACUCCAACUCAUUUCUUGUCGAUGGCACCUCUUUCCUUCUUCCUUUUCUUCUCUCCUCUGCAUCCUCCAAACCCAUCCAUGAUCUCUAGCUCUCUACGAUAUCCCCCUCCACAUCUACCUCUUCUCACUGGUAACCCAUCCUCUCUCUUCUCUUCCUUCUCAUCUAUUUUUUCUCCAUGGUGACUCCCUCCACCUCCACCUAUUCCUCCACCUCUUUCUUUCCUCCUCAUUUACUUAUCCUCCUCAUUCUUGCCAUCCUCCAAUUCACUCAUAAGCCAUCCGCCUCCAUGAUGGCUCCCUCUAUCUCUACCCCUUCUCGCGGUAAUUCAUCCUUUCCUCUUCCCUUCCUCCCCAUCCUCUUCUCCUCUUCCAAGCCAUUUCUCGCCUGCAGCCCUUCUUUCCUCCU